UGGUAUAAGAUAUUAUAUUCAGGUUUCAGACACAAGCUCAUACCUUGAGUAAUAGUGAAGUGUUUUCUCUUUGAAGUUUUCUUUUGAAUAUCCUGUCAUGUUUUUUCAUCCCAAUAUAGCUCAUGCUGGAGGAUUUUCUUGUUGUAGUUAAAAUCUAAUAGAGUGCCCAGAAAACUAAUUCUGGCUAUUUAUUUCUUCCAUUAGUUGGAAGUAAAGUUAACUGAGCUUAUUAUUCGUUUCCUUAGUUUAUAAUUUUGCAUAUGCAUGGAUUCAUAUAUUCAAUUAUUUGAAUUGAUGUAUUUUGUGCGAUUUCGGAUGUAUGUAGAUGGCUAGAUUUGUGAGGUUGAACCAUAGAGGUACUGUUCAGAGGGCUAAUAAUGAUAGUGUUGUAUUUGUGAACAUGCUAGAGGAGACAUUGCUUUUUGGUGAAACUCCACCUUUGUCUAGUUUGUGUGCUCGAGUGAAAGAGCAGUUGUGAUGGACGGAAGAAGGGGUUGAUGUUGGGUUCGAAGGAAGGAUUGAUGUGGGUUCGUCGAAUGGAUCAUGUAUCAAGAUGAUAGUCCCAAUAAGUAGUGAGAGUGAAUGGGAUGCUUACAAUAAAAUCGUGAUUGACUCCGAAGUAAGAAUUUUGGACCUGGUGGUCACAAAGUUGACGAGGGAUCCUUCACACCAAAGCGAAGUUGAUGUAGCUCUACCAUUGCAAGCUAUUGCAGACAACUGGCCUGGAGUUGUUCUAGAUGAUGGUGGUGCGCUCAAUUUGGAUACUGAGCCACUCACACAGGAGGUUCCAGAAGUUGUAGAAGUUCCUCAUGGUGACAUGAUGGAACCACCAACUAUUGAUGAUGUUGCUGAUGUGGUUCGUGAUGAUUCUGUUAGAAUUGGCAUCGCAACCGACCGGAUGGAUGUAGGUGCCUUCGGUGACAACGAGACAUACGAGAGAGAGAGAGAGAGAGAGAGAGAGAGAGAGAGAGAGAGAGAGAGAGAGAGAGAGAGAGAGCUAUUCACUCGGAUGAUGUCUGACUGGUGGUGCAAUUGUCCACUAGAGAGAUUGAAGCCUUGAGGAUGUUGGUCGCUAGUGCGAAGUAGGAUGCCAUGGUUCGAAUGAUGCAAUAUUACAGUAUACGGUCGCUAGUGCACACCUGGGCGCCAUGGUUCGAACCCUUACUUGACGAAGAUCAAUGGGAACCUUACUUUGGUCCUCAGUACGUGUCAGAUAAGGCCCUACUGUAGAAGAAGAAAGGUCCAAGAAAGAGAGUGUGAUACACGAUGGACAUGGAUUGGGCACAACCUGGUCAGUCCAAAAGGAGAAGGGUGGGGGCGCACUUCCUAGAUGAUCCUGUGACCAUCCAUUGUUCAAAGUGCCAUAAGCUAGGACAUAAUAGGAAGAAGUGCGAUCAAGCACCUGCUAAAGUGGGAGGGUUUAAAUGUAUUUUGUGUUAUCAAUAGUGUGAUUCUUACUUUACAUAAACUUUGAUUUUUUGGUUUUUUCAUUUUCUAACAUGUGCCGUAUUUUUCAAUACAGGAUGACAUGGUACUGGCUCCUGGACGAGUUCUACGAGAGGGAGCACAAAGCAUAGAGGAUAGAGGACAGGGAGGUUCUUCCCAUGCUUUGUGUCCAGGGACAUUGAUGGAGCUUCUGUCAUGCACUACAAUCGUCACUACACCCCACUCCUUUAGCAGGUGAACCUUGCCGUUGUCUCCAACAUCAUGAAGCGGGGCAUGCCACCUUUUAACCCCACUUUCCCCACCGCACUUGUGGACAGAUGGAGGUUUGAGACUCACUUCUUCCAUCUACCAUGUGGAGAGAUGAUAAUGACCCUGCAAUGAUGUUGCCAUGAUCCUGGCGUUGCCGAUCAGAGGGCAGCCUAUGACUGGGAGAUGUGUCUCUGAGGGCCGACGGUGGUGCAUGGAGGACUUCUUGGGUACCGAGCUUCCACCUCAGUUGGAAGAGAGGAAGGGUUGUGUUUCAGGGGUCUCUAUCAGCCGACUACGAGAGAGGUUCGGGAUGUGCCCUCCUGAUGCACAUGCCACUACUGCCACCUUCCACGCACAGGCAUGAGUGAAGGACAUGUUCGGUGCCGUGCUUUUUCUGGACUCCACUGGAGACUAUUGUCUACGAUUGCUGAACCGUCGAUCUUACGAACUUGUCAAAGAGGGUCCUCUGGCUCUGUAUAUAUAUAGGGGGGGUCAUCGUACAGCCUCUAGAGUCCUUUCUUACCAUUCUUGGAGAUAAGUUUUCCUAUUUACGAGACAUCCUGGGUAUCUACGAGCAAUUUUUAUGCGUUUAUGGAUUCUCUUUUCGGAGAUAAAUAUAUAUCCCGAGAAUGAUGGAAACCCCUGGGGUAUGCGGAUAAGGUAUCCAUACAUAUUAUGAUUGUCACGCCCCUCAUCAGUACAUGAAAGGAGGUUGUGACGGGUUCAAAAUUAGCCUAGCCAGGGAAUAUGUCCUGAUAGGUCAUUCCUUUGGGUAGUACUUGGGCUUCUGAGUAGGAUGCACAACUAGCCAGGAUUCUAAUCGUCUUUGAGUCAUCUUCUCAGAGGAUGAAUCUUCCCCAUAAAGGAUUAUCGGAUAAGACCAAAGGUGAUCAUCUCUCCAACAGUGGGGGUUUUGAAAUUUUAAACGUCACAACAGAGGUUUCAUGUGGUGAUUAAAGAUUCCCUCUCUUUCUUCUAGCGAAAAAGGAUGAGCUGACGUGAGUCAAAUGCACCAUGCCUGACAAAGUGGUGCACCUACUCUACUAGACUCCUCGGCGUGUGAACAUUUCAAUUAUUGUUUCUUACAGACUUUUAGGGACAAAGAACUUGUGUAUAUUUGGUUAAGUAAUCAAUGUGUUCUUAUUUAUCAUGCCUAUGUGUAAGCGAACAUGAUGGGGCUUAUCGCGAGCGUGGUACCGAGUAGAUCUCGAUAACUCACUGCGCAUAGCACAACCCAUUCCUCUCUUCGGCUAGGGUAGUCAUCUUUGUUGCUUCCUAGGGAGCUUAGUCAGUCGGCCUUAGGUCCUUGAACGAGGGAUGUCUUAGCCCCCAUGCACUCACAGACACGAUAAGGGACCUUUUCACAUCCCGUUAGGUCGUCAACUCUGGAAACCACUAUUCACAUGAAGGAAAUUGCUUUGGUGCAUACACGAUAAGUUACCAUUAGCAUUCAGUACCUUGUACCCAUGUACCUCAACCGUCUGUCCAUGAAGAGGUUCCGGAUAGGUAGUCAGAGAGAUAUAUAAAAGAACUUCCAAUGAGAAGCAUGAAAAGAUUGUAUGGCAUAGAGAAUAAUGUGCAAACAUGAACAUUGUUUAUAUGAAUGUACUUUCAGUACUUACACAUAAAACUUUCAAAGUUGGUCGAUGUAUCCCCAUAGACGGUGCCAACUGUCGAUGGUUGGAGAAUCGUCGAUCUUACGAACUUAUAGAUGAAUCAAAGAACACACAUAUGGGUUUUUAUACAGGUUCAGGUCCGCUUUAGGAUAAUAGUCCUACAUCUUGUUUAUCUUGUAUUGAUCUCUAAGAGUAUUACAAUGGGGUGCGUGGCUAGCCUAGAGGGAUCUACAUCUAGUUGGAUGGCUCCCUUGUAUGUAGUCGAGGAAGAUGCUAAUACAGAUCUAACUGUGAAAGGCUUAGUGGAUGUAGAGCUUCCGCAUGCUUCGAUGGCUUGUAUGAACUUGUUGUCUCUUGUCCUCUGCAGGGUCCCUUGGCUCCGUAUAUGUAGGGGGCUCAUCGUAUGGCCUUUGGAGUCCUUUCUUUUUGUUCUUAGAGAUAAACUUCCCUGUUUAUGAGAUAUCCUAGGUAUCUGCAAAUGGUUUUCAUGCGUCCAGGGAUUCUCUUUCCGGAGAUAAAAAUAUGCCCCGAGAAUGAUGGAAAACCUUAGGGUAUCCAGAUAAGGUAUCCAUACAUACUAUCAUCGUCAACUGUGCUUCUUGGAUGUACCUCCCCUCCCUCCUUGACUAGGAUGACACAUGCUAGUAUAAUUAGGGGUCGACUAUGCUUGUUUUCUUGUACUGACAUCUCUGCAAAGCCUACUGGCGCUGAUCCCCAUCCUCCUCACUUGGUAGUUGUGCGUACCCACUCUAGAUAUAGAUUUGGGAUAGGAUGUCAGUAGGGAGGCCAAGGCUACUCUUGCCACACCAUUGGACUCCCAUGAAUGUUGUUGAGUUGUGCCCCUUCGUUGUCUACUUGUAGGACCAGGUUUCAGCCCCCUGUGUACUUACCAAUAGGGCAUAUGUUGAUUAUAGCAAUGAGUUGGACACCCUGCACCUGAGUUUGGUUCAGUGAGAGCUGUACACUUGGAUGGAGGUGGAGGCUUUGGAGGACAGCUUGGGCCUGAAUCCUUUGUGCCAGCGAGACGGGGAUCUUUGGGCCAUGAGGUGCCCACUGAUUUGCUUCUACGCUGUAGAGAUGCACCUACCACAUAGGGUGAUGAGAUAAUUCAAUAGGCAACAAUCUUACCCACCCUACGAGGUGUCUAAGUCCAUCGAUUUUCACAAUUUUGAUCAGGUGAGAUAGCGGUCCGUGACGGACUUCGCGUACCACCACCGUGCCCACAUCGCUGAGUGGUGAAGGUUUGAGCAGAAUUACAAGGGGAAUUUCAACAUGCAUCUUGAUUCCACGUUUUGUUAGUACCUUUCUUGGUACCAAUUUUCCACCUGCUACAAGUUGAGGCAAAGAUUGGUGGAUGAGAACUACAUCAACAUUGAGUUGUCAGACAAUGACAACACCCCUUACGACAAUCGCACUCAACAUGGGACACUUGUCGAGAUUGCUCCCAUCCUAGACUGAGUGGGUAUGGAUGUGAGGUGGUGUAUCAACAAUAUUGGCAAUGCCUUAAGGAUCCUAGUUGGUAGCCCUGACAUAGAGAACAAUUUGCGAGGAACAUUGGAGGUAGGAAUGUUGAUAUGGAAACAUUCUUUUCGUUCAAAUACACCUCUUGUUAUUAUUCAUUACAAGUUACGAUUUGUGCAUCCAACGAUGCAUUCGUAAAGUGGUAGCUCAGUGUGGUUAUCGCACGCUGGCCUUGGCAGAUUUUGUCCCUCGUGCUCACUCUGCGGCCACCUCAGAGCUUUAGUCAUGAGCGUCUAGUGGCUCCGUCACACGGUCUCAUACCACCACAAGGUCUGCGGGCUCAAGCUCCUCACACAAGGUCCUCUUGGAUGACGAGGAGGGUGCCAACGCCGAGGACAAGAAAGAGAACACCCACAAUGAGAUAGGUAUUCCUCAAGUGGUAGACGCACCACUGCCUAUGUAGGCGUCCAAACGUCCUUAUCAGUAGGUUUAGUGGUACACCCCAAGUAUAGUGCUCUUGGUCAAGGGAAGAGAAAGGCAAAGAGUUUGACGUAGUGACUGCUUCAUUGUAAUAUAUGGAUGUGAAGCAUAUUUGGAUGCUAUGUAGGACUCAUAAUGUUUGAUGCUAUGUAAUAUAUUUUGAAUGAAUGUGUGUGUGAACGUUGGAUGCUAUGUAA